rnacentral:rRNA from 1 species
UACGUAGGGGGCAAGCGUUGUCCGGAUUUAUUGGGCGUAAAGAGCGUGUAGGCGGCCAGACAGGUCAGCUGUGAAAACUCGAGGCUCAACCUCGAGACGUCGGUUGAAACCGUCCGGCUAGAGUCCGGAAGAGGAGAGUGGAAUUCCCGGUGUAGCGGUGAAAUGCGCAGAUAUCGGGAAGAACACCCGUGGCGAAGGCGGCUCUCUGGGACGGUACUGACGCUGAGACGCGAAAGCGUGGGGAGCGAACAGG